AGAGUUUGAUUCUGGCUCAGAACGAACGCUGGCGGCGUGGAUAAGACAUGCAAGUCGAACGGUGACUAAAAAGUAGUAAUAUUUUUUAGUUAUAGUGGCGAAAGGGUGCGUAACACGUGGGUAAUCUGCCGUAAUGUUUGGAAUAACUUGCCGAAAGGUAAGCUAAUACCGGAUGUGGAACUCUUGAGGCAUCUUAAGAGUUCCAAAGCUGGGGACCGCAAGGCCUGGCGCAUUAUGAUGAGCCCGCGGCCUAUCAGCUUGUUGGUGAGGUAAUGGCUCACCAAGGCUAAGACGGGUAGCCGGUCUGAGAGGACGGUCGGCCACACUGGAACUGAGACACGGUCCAGACACCUACGGGUGGCAGCAGUCGAGAAUCAUUCACAAUGGGGGAAACCCUGAUGGUGCGACGCCGCGUGGGGGAUGAAUGGCUUCGGUCAGUAAACCCCUGUCAUUAGUGAACAAACCUUUUAGGGUAAUACCUUAAAAGCUGAUAGUAGCUAAAGAGGAAGGGACGGCUAACUCUGUGCCAGCAGCCGCGGUAAUACAGAGGUCCCAAGCGUUGUUCGGAUUCACUGGGCGUAAAGAGUGCGUAGGUGGCUAGGUAAGUUUGAUGUGAAAGCUCCGAGCUCAACUCGGAAAUUGCAUUGAAAACUGCUUGGCUAGAGGGUCGGAAGGGAGACUGGAAUUUUCGGUGUAGCAGUGAAAUGCGUAGAUAUCGAGAGGAACACCAGUGGCGAAGGCGAGUCUCUGGACGAAUCCUGACACUGAGGCACGAAAGCUAGGGGAGCAAACAGGAUUAGAUACCCUGGUAGUCCUAGCCGUAAACGGUGCACACUUGCUAUGAGCGGAUUCGACCCCGUUCGUGGCGUAGCUAACGCGUUAAGUGUGCCGCCUGGGGAGUACGGUCGCAAGAUUAAAACUCAAAGAAAUUGACGGGGGCCUGCACAAGCGGUGGAGCAUGUGGUUUAAUUCGAAGCAACGCGCAGAACCUUACCAGCCCUUGACAUGGGUAGUAUGAUUACCAGAGAUGGUUUUCUUCAGUUCGGCUGGCUACCACACAGGUGCUGCAUGGCUGUCGUCAGCUCGUGUCGUGAGAUGUUGGGUUAAGUCCCGCAACGAGCGCAACCCUCAUCCUUAGUUGCCAGCGGUUCGGCCGGGCACUCUAAGGAAACUGCCGGUGACAAGCCGGAGGAAGGCGAGGAUGACGUCAAGUCCUCAUGGCCCUUAUGGGCUGGGCUACACACGUGCUACAAUGGCAAUGACAGUGGGAUGCGAAGGGGCGACCCGGAGCUAAUCUCCAAAAAUUGUCUCAGUUCGGAUUGUACUCUGCAACUCGAGAGCAUGAAGUUGGAAUCGCUAGUAAUCGCGGAUCAGCAUGCCGCGGUGAAUACGUUCCCGGGCCUUGUACACACCGCCCGUCACACCAUGGGAGUUGG
rnacentral:rRNA from 1 species